GGAAUAUUGGACAAUGGGCGCAAGCCUGAUCCAGCCAUGCCGCGUGUGUGAAGAAGGCCUUCGGGUUGUAAAGCACUUUUGUACGGGAAGAAAAGCACUCGGUUAAUACCCGGGCGUCCUUACGGUACCGUCAGAAUAAGACCCGGCUAACUUCGUGCACGCAGCCGCGGUAAUACGAAGGUUGCAAGCGUUACUCGGAAUUACUGGGCGUAAAGCGUGCGUAGGUGGUUUGUUAAGUCUGAUGUGAAAGCCCUGGGCUCAACCUGGGAAUUGCAUUGGAUACUGGCAGUCUAGAGUGCGGUAGAGGGUAGCGGAAUUCCCGGUGUAGCAGUGAAAUGCGUAGAUAUCGGGAGGAACAUCCGUGGCGAAGGCGGCUACCUGGACCAGCACUGACACUGAGGCACGAAAGCGUGGGGAGCAAA
rnacentral:rRNA from 1 species